ACACAUGCAAGUCGGGCGGAUCUCUCUAAUUGCAGCAAUGCAAUUGGAGAGAUCGAGCGGCAAACGGGUGAGUAAUGGAUAGGUAAUCUACCAUAAUGACUGGGAUACCCCCUUGAAAAAGGGAUCAAUACCAGAUAAUGUCAGUUUAAAUACUUUUAAAACUGAAGAAAGAUGGCCCAAAGCUAUCACAUUAUGAUGAGCCUAUCUCCUAUCAGCUUGUUGGUGAGGUAAUGGCUCACCAAGGCUAUGACGGGUAGCUGGUCUGAGAGGAUGGUCAGCCACACUGGAACUUAGAUACGGUCCAGACUCCUACGGGAGGCAGCAGUGGGGAAUCUUGGGCAAUGGGCGAAAGCCUGACCCAGCGACACUGCGUGGGUGAUGAAGAUCUUUGGAUUGUAAAACCCUUUUCCUGAAGAUGAAAGGUAGGAUUGAGAAUAUCCUUCCUACCCUGACAGUAUUCAGGGAAUAAGCCCCAGCCAACUACGUG
rnacentral:rRNA from 1 species